UGACAGAGAAGAAAAGAGUAGUCCAGAUGGGUUAGUGAGGCAGCCAGAUACAUGAGGGGUAGCUGAAGGGAAGCAGAGAAAGUUGGCACUAAGAAGCAAGCAGCUCUUUCCCUGGUUUUGGCUGAAAGAUAUCUCCCUUAGCUACAGAUAUUUCCAGGAGCAUCACAUACAAGACUCCUUUCCCCUGAGGUCUGGAGCUUAGGAAGUCAAGUGCCAUCAGGAAGGUCAGACUCCCUUCCCCAGCCAGGCUCAGGGCCCUCAGCUAGACACGAAUGUCAGAAAACACUGCUUCCCCAGAAGCAGCCCAGCCCCUCCUCCAAUGGAAGGUCUGUCUGGAGUGAGAUGUCUCAGACCAGAGACCCCCAACUCUGAAGAACCAGUGACCAGGAAAGGCUCCUGAUGCCAUCUCUUUUUGUUGCUUAUCUGAAUAUGGAGCUGGGCCAACUGUCUGUGAGUCUAACCCACCUGCCCCCUGGGGGUUGGGGGUUGCCCGAGCUGGUGAGA
rnacentral:lncRNA from 1 species